AUACGGAGGGUGCAAGCGUUAAUCGGAAUUACUGGGCGUAAAGCGUACGUAGGCGGUUAGUUAAGUUAGAUGUGAAAGCCCCGGGCUUAACCUGGGAACUGCAUUUAAAACUGGCUAACUAGAGUUAAGUAGAGGGGAGUGGAAUUUCAGGUGUAGCGGUGAAAUGCGUAGAGAUCUGAAGGAACACCAGUGGCGAAGGCGACUCCCUGGACUUGAACUGACGCUGAGGUACGAAAGCGUGGGUAGCAAACGGGAUUAGAUACCCUUGUAGUCC
rnacentral:rRNA from 1 species